rnacentral:rRNA from 1 species
ACACGUAGGGGCCUGACGUUGUUCGGAAUCAUUGGGCGUAAAGGGCGCGCAGGCGGCCGUCCAAGUCCGGUGUUAAAUGGUCGGGCUCAACCCGAUCAUGCGCUGGAAACUGGGCGGCUUGAGUCCCGUAGGGGAUGCCGGAAUUCCAGGUGUAGGGGUGAAAUCUGUAGAUAUCUGGAAGAACACCGAUGGCGAAGGCAGGCAUCUGGCCGGAGACUGACGCUGAGGCGCGAAGGCGCGGGGAGCGAACAGGUUUAGAUACCCUGGUAGUCCGCGCAGUAAACGAUGCGCACCAGGUGUCGGGCGGCAGCGCCCGGUACCGGAGCUAACGCGAUGAGUGCGCCGCCUGGGGAGUAUGCCCGCAAGGGUGAAACUCAAAUGAAUUGACGGG